UACGUAGGGUGCAAGCGUUUGUCCGGAAUUAUUGGGCGUAAAGAGCUCGUAGGCGGUCUGUCGCGUCGGCUGUGAAAACUCGGGGCUCAACUCCGAGCUUGCAGUGGAUACGGGCAGGCUAGAGGUAGGUAGGGGAGAAUGGAAUUCCCGGUGUAGCGGUGGAAUGCGCAGAUAUCAGGAGGAACACCGGUGGCGAAGGCGGGUCUCUGGGCCAUUACUGACGCUGAGGAGCGAAAGCGUGGGGAGCGAACAGG
rnacentral:rRNA from 1 species